GACGAACGCUGGCGGCGUGCCUAAUACAUGCAAGUAGAACGCACAGUUUAUACCGUAGCUUGCUACAUCAUAGACUGUGAGUUGCGAAUGGGUGAGUAAUGCGUAGGUAACCUGCCUGGUAGCGGGGGAUAACUAUUGGAAACGAUAGCUAAUACAGCAUAAUAUUAAUUAUUGCAUGAUAAUUAAUUGAAAGGUGCACUUGCAUCACUACCAGAUGGACCUGCGUUGUAUUAGCUAGUAGGAGAGGUAACGGCUCACCUAGGCGACGAUACAUAGCCGACCUGAGAGGGUGAUCGGCCACACUGGGACUGAGACACGGCCCAGACUCCUACGGGGAGCAGCAGUAGGGAAUCUUCGGCAAUGGGCGGAAGGCUGACCGGACAACGCCGCGGGGAUGAAGGAGGUUUUCGGAUCGGAAAGCUCUGUUGAAAGGGAAGAACGGGAGUGGGAGUGGAAAGUUCACACUGUGACGGUAUCUUACCAGAAAGGGACGGCUAACUACGUG
rnacentral:rRNA from 1 species